UGGGGGAUAUUGCACAAUGGGCGAAAGCCUGAUGCAGCGACGCCGCGUGGGGGAUGAAGGCCUUCGGGUUGUAAACUUCUUUUGCUCUGAACAAGGCAUGCUAAUGGGUGUGUUGAGUGUAGGGGUUGAUUAGCGCCGGCUAACUACGUGCCAGCAGCCGCGGUAAUACGUAGGGCGCGAGCGUUGACCGGAAUUAUUGGGCGUAAAGGGCUUGUAGGUGGCUGGUUGCGUCUGUCGUGAAAGCUCAUGGCUUAACUGUGGGUUUGCGGUGGGUACGGGCUGGCUUGAGUGCAGUAGGGGAGGCUGGAAUUCCUGGUGUAGCGGUGGAAUGCGCAGAUAUCAGGAGGAAUACCGGUGGCGAAGGCGGGUCUCUGGGCUGUUACUGACACUGAGGAGCGAAAGCAUGGGGAGCGAACAGG
rnacentral:rRNA from 1 species